rnacentral:rRNA from 1 species
AUGCACCAAGCAGGAGUGUCUUCGGACACAAGUCUUAAAACACCCCUUUGUCACCCCCAACCUAUCUACCUAUUCCAGAGCUUUCCAUCUAUUCUAGUCCAUAUAGCAACCUUCUUUUUUUUUCGCGGGGAUAGUCCAUAUAGCACCCUGACCAGCUCAUGCAAUAUGACUCUUGUUGGUACGCUGGUUAUAAUUAUCAUGGCUACCUUGCUGUUGUAUUUUCUCAGAAAAAGCAAAAGAGUGGUAUUGUCCCAGAAGGAAUGGACACGACGAGGUCUGCUGCCCCCGGGGCCUGCCACACUGCCCAUCAUUGGGAACAUGCACCAGAUGGUUUGGAACAAGCCGGCAGUGUUCCGGUGGAUCCAUCGCCUUCUCAAGGAGAUGAACACACACAUCAUGUGCCUCCGUCUCGGAGCUACUCAUGUCAUUGUUGUGACAUGCCCAGAGAUAGCAUGUGAGGUACUACGGAAGAAGGAUGAAGUUUUCGCCUCCCGUCCCACCACCUUCGCCUCGGGUACAUUCAGCUUCGGGUACAAGGGCUCCGUCUUGUCACCGCAUGGAGAGCAGUGGAAAAAGAUGAGGCGCGUCCUCACCUCGGAGAUCCUCACCUCGUCCAUGGAGCAGAAGCUCAACCACCUACGGAAGGAGGAGUACGACCACCUUGUAAGGUACAUUAACAACACCGCUUGUCAUCGCAUGAUGCCACAUGCAAAAAACAUUGUCAACGUGCGCCAUGUGGCACAACAUUUCUGUUGUAACCUGAUAAGAAGGCUUGUGUUCGGUAAAAGAUACUUUAGCAACCUACCGGCUUCGUCAACUAAUGGGCCUGGAUAUGAGGACGAGGCACAUGCGGCCGCUCUUUUUAAGGCCCUCAACCAUGUGUACAGCUUCUGCGUGUCUGACUACAUCCCAGCCCUGGUAGGCCUCGACUUGGAUGGCCAUGAGGAGGUUUCCAUGGAUGUCAUGAGAACACUCAACCGGUUGCAUGAUCCCAUCAUAUGGGAGCGGAUCCAUGAAAGGUCAUCCACUCUUGAGAAAGGUGGUGAAGAUAAAGAGGUUAGAGACUUUUUGGAUGUCCUAGUUCAUCUUAAAGAUGCAGAGGGACAACCGUUGCUAUCCCUACAAGAAAUAAGAGCACAAACGGCGGAAAUGGUGCUUGCAGCAGUCGACAACCCAUCAAAUGCGGUUGAGUGGGCGCUCGCCGAGAUGAUGAACAGACCAGAGAUCAUGCAAAAAGCAACCGAUGAACUCGACGCUGUCAUUGGUAAAGAUAGACUAGUCCAGGAGUCUGAUAUUCCUCGGCUAAAUUAUCUCAAAUCGUGUAUCCGGGAGGCCUUCCGCAUACACCCAUACCAUGCUCUUAAUUUACCCCAUGUUGCAAUGGUGGACACCACUAUCACUGGCUACACCAUCCCAAAGGAUAGCCACAUCCUUUUAAGCCGGCUUGGACUUGGCCGAAACCCCAAGAUUUGGAGCGAACCAAUAGAGUUUCGUCCUGAGAGGCAUCUGAAUACCGUGAAUGUUCUUCUCACUGAGCCAGGCCUACGUUUCAUUUCUUUUAGCAGUGGGAGAAGGGGUUGUCCUGGGAUUUCACUUGGUACCUCUAUCACAAUGAUGUUGUUUGCAAGGAUGCUGCAGGGCUUCACUUGGACAAAACCUGCAGGCGUUAAAACUAUCAGUCUACAGGAAAGCAAUGCAAGCCUUGCCCUACUGGAACCCCUUGUUUUGCAAGCUCAACCACGGCUGGCUGCGUAUCUCUAUAAAUGA